GAUGAGGUGGCCGAGUGGUUAAGGCGAUGGAUUGCUGAUCCAUUGUGUUAUGCACACAUGGUUUCAAAUCCCAUCCUCGUCG